rnacentral:rRNA from 1 species
UACCAGCACCCCGAGUGGUCGGGACGUUUAUUGGGCCUAAAGCAUCCGUAGCCGGUUCUACAAGUCUUCCGUUAAAUCCAACUGCUUAACAGGUGGGCUGCGGAAGAUACUAUAGAGCUAGGAGGCGGGGAGAGGCAAGCGGUACUCGAUGGGUAGGGGGUAAAAUCCGUUGAUCCAUUGAAGACCACCAGUGGCGAAGGCGGCUUGCCAGAACGCGCUCGACGGUGAGGGAUGAA